UACAGAGGCCUCGAGCGUUGUUCGGAUUCAUUGGGCGUAAAGGGUGCGUAGGUGGUAUGGUAAGUCGGAUGUGAAAUCCCGGGGCUCAACCCCGGAACUGCAUUCGAUACUGCCGUGCUUGAGUACUGGAGAGGAGAUCGGAAUUUACGGUGUAGCAGUGAAAUGCGUAGAUAUCGUAAGGAAGACCAGUGGCGAAGGCGGAUCUCUGGACAGUUACUGACACUGAGGCACGAAGGCCAGGGGAGCAAACGGG
rnacentral:rRNA from 1 species